rnacentral:lncRNA from 1 species
UGACCAGUGUGACCAGUUUGGCUACUGAAAUGGGCUCUGGGGCCUCCAAAACUUCUGGGGCCAUCAGCUUGACCAGUUUGGCCACUGAAACCGGUUUGGCCACUGAAACCAGUGUGACCAGUUUGGCCACUGAAGUCACCCCUGGGACCUCCAGGGCCACCAGUGUGACCAGUUUGGCCACUGAAACCGGUUUGGCCACUGAAAUGACCCCUGGGACCUCCUGGGCCACCAGUGUGACCAGUUUGGCCACCAGGACCUCUGGGGUCCCCAGUAAAACCAGUGGGACCGGCCCAUGA